rnacentral:lncRNA from 1 species
UAAAAAGAUAUUUUAUCAGUUUCGAAAAAAAAGGAGCGUAAAUUUGUCGAAAAUAUCUAAAAUCCAGAAAAUAUCAUUGUCACAGAUACAGCCGGAGUGUUUUAAAGGCUCGCUCGGGGUAUAAGAUGGUGCCGAGAUGAAAAGGAACAUGGUAACCGUCUCUACUCUUGAGGAAUCGUUGGCUACACCAGGGAAUCAAGAAAGGAGAAUACCUCGAGUGAAAAAGAAGAGAAGAAGAGUACCUACGCAUCGCGCCAGACAUUAUGCUAAUCUACAACUGAGGAUGUACGUCCGAUAAGCUCCAGUCCGACGAUGUUGAGCCUCGGUAAUAUAUAUACACAUAUAUAUUUUCCAACAUAUACUGCGGUGAAGCCGAGGGGCCCCACGCCCUUAAUCUCUUACAAGUGUUCUUCAGAUUCGCUCCAAAAUCUUGCGAGAAAGUCCAAAGUGUAUCCGGGACUCUUGCAAUUUCCAAAAUUUUCAUCCGGGUAAUUAAGAAAAAUGUCAGCAAAAUUGAACUGAAGACUGGCUGUAAAUAGCGGGACUAAUAAAAUAAAUAAUAUGUUUAUUUAUUUAUUUAUUUAAGAGUAAAGUGCGACGAUUAUCGCUGAAGAAAUCCCCGCGAGAUCGUUAUGUUUGCCGAGAUGAUAUCGCUGACUACCAGAAGACGCGUGGGCUGUAUGGGCCCAAACGAGCAGACCCACAAAAAGUAACCAAUGAGGAAAAAAAGAUCCCGGGAAUAAAAAAUACGAGGAAGAAUAUAUAUAAGAAAGAAGCACCAGCUCUGAAAAUUUCAGCCCAUUGUCCGCACUCUGCACUCUACUCUUUUUAUUAUGAAACCUAACCUCUUUCAUUUAUUUAUAUACACCCAUCCUUAUCCGUACAUAAAUAUAUACACACACACACACACACACACAUAAAAACUCUUAUAAAAAUCUAAAUAAAUAAAAAAGAGCGGCCUUUCAAGCAUUUAGUGACACUCGUGUUUAAUAAUAACAAUACACCCGAUGAUAAAUCUUCAUUUUUGUUAAUUUCAUUUCUUCGUAUAUCUAUUAUGUUCCAACUGAUGGAACGACCCAGUAACGCCAUUGUUGGCGCAAUCACAAACUAAUGUUUUUAUUUCUUUGGCUGGAAGUGACGCGUGUGAACCAAAUUAAGAGAAGAAUUAAAUAUAUAAAUAUAAAUGGGAGGAAAAGGAUUAGAGGUUUUAUUUGUUUGAGAUAAGUGUUUAUGUAAGAGACCUAAAUAAAUUUAAUCCGGCACAAUAAUUCUCUUGUAAUGUUUAAUUUAUGCCGAUUCACCUGAAGAUAGCCCUCGAAUCUCUAAAAACAACAUCCACUUAGAUCUCCUGAUAGCUUGAGGAUGAGUCCAUCUGCCCUGAGUAAUAUCUUGGGAGCCAAAUAGCGGAGUGUCACGGUGAAAGGAAGUCCUUGAUUUUGACCGCAAGGUUCUAAAUGAUAAUCCAGAAAGGCUGUCAUUAUUACAAAAGAAGAGGGUCAAUUCGCUGAUAGGAUUUUAUUUAACGUCUAGACACGCGUGUUCGCGUGCAAAAAAGUUAUUAAAGUAAAGACCUUUUUCAAAUACAUUUUUUAGUAAGAUAUAUUCAUAUUUUUGAUCCGAUCAAUUUUUUGCCGAAAGUUUUUAAUUUUUACGAAGAAAUAACAUCUAAACUAUUUACAGUUGGGUACUGUUAGAAUUUAUUAUAUUAAAACAGCUAAGAGUAACUUUUUGCUUGAGUUUUGAUUUUGUGAUAAGAAACGGCUUGGUUGUUUGUGUCGUUACGGACUAUUGUGUAAAAAACAGUUAUGGAGGAUCAAGAGAAUUGUCUUUUUAAUGAAAUUACUUGUAAAAGUGAUGAGAAAAUUUAUUAUUAAUGCUAAAGUAAGUCAACUAUGAGGUUUUCUU